GACGAACGCUGGCGGCGUGCUUAACACAUGCAAGUCGAACGAAGAGCGAUGGAAGCUUGCUUCUAUCCAUCUUAGUGGCGAACGGGUGAGUAACGCGUAAUCAACCUGCCCUUCAGAGGGGGCCAACAGUUGGAAACGACUGCUCCUACCGCAUACGACCUAAUCUCGGCAUCGAGGGUAGAUUAACGGCGGCCUCGACUUGUCAGCUAUCACUGAAGGAGGGGAGUGCGUCUGUUUGGCACGUAGGCGGGGUAACGGACCACCAAGGCGAUGGUGAGUAGCAGGUAGGCGAGGAUGGAUGGCCACAUUGAGAGGGUGACACGGCACAGAGUCAUACGGGAGGCAGCAGUGGGGAAUCGGGCGCAAUGGACGAGAGUCUGACGGAGCAACGCCGAGUGCUCGAUGACGGCCUUCGGGUGGUAAAGCUCUGUUAUUCGGGACGAAAGGCCUUCUUGCGAAUAGUGAGAAGGAGUGACGGUACCGGAAUAGAAAGCAACGGCUAACUACGUG
rnacentral:rRNA from 1 species